GAGUUUGAUCCUGGCUCAGAGUGAACGCUGGCGGCGUGCCUAAUACAUGCAAGUCGAACGAUGAAGCUUCUAGCUUGCUAGAGUGCUGAUUAGUGGCGCACGGGUGAGUAACGCAUAGGUUAUGUGCCUCUUAGUUUGGGAUAGCCAUUGGAAACGAUGAUUAAUACCAGAUACUCCCUACGGGGGAAAGAUUUAUCGCUAAGAGAUCAGCCUAUGUCCUAUCAGCUUGUUGGUAAGGUAAUGGCUUACCAAGGCUAUGACGGGUAUCCGGCCUGAGAGGGUGAACGGACACACUGGAACUGAGACACGGUCCAGACUCCUACGGGAGGCAGCAGUAGGGAAUAUUGCUCAAUGGGGGAAACCCUGAAGCAGCAACGCCGCGUGGAGGAUGAAGGUUUUAGGAUUGUAAACUCCUUUUGUUAGAGAAGAUAAUGACGGUAUCUAACGAAUAAGCACCGGCUAACUCCGUGCCAGCAGCCGCGGUAAUACGGAGGGUGCAAGCGUUACUCGGAAUCACUGGGCGUAAAGAGCGCGUAGGCGGGAUAGUCAGUCAGGUGUGAAAUCCUAUGGCUUAACCAUAGAACUGCAUUUGAAACUACUAUUCUAGAGUGUGGGAGAGGUAGGUGGAAUUCUUGGUGUAGGGGUAAAAUCCGUAGAGAUCAAGAGGAAUACUCAUUGCGAAGGCGACCUGCUGGAACAUUACUGACGCUGAUUGCGCGAAAGCGUGGGGAGCAAACAGGAUUAGAUACCCUGGUAGUCCACGCCCUAAACGAUGGAUGCUAGUUGUUGGAGGGCUUAGUCUCUCCAGUAAUGCAGCUAACGCAUUAAGCAUCCCGCCUGGGGAGUACGGUCGCAAGAUUAAAACUCAAAGGAAUAGACGGGGACCCGCACAAGCGGUGGAGCAUGUGGUUUAAUUCGAAGAUACACGAAGAACCUUACCUAGGCUUGACAUUGAGAGAAUCCGCUAGAAAUAGUGGAGUGUCUGGCUUGCUAGACCUUGAAAACAGGUGCUGCACGGCUGUCGUCAGCUCGUGUCGUGAGAUGUUGGGUUAAGUCCCGCAACGAGCGCAACCCCCUUUCUUAGUUGCUAACAGGUUAUGCUGAGAACUCUAAGGAUACUGCCUCCGUAAGGAGGAGGAAGGUGGGGACGACGUCAAGUCAUCAUGGCCCUUACGCCUAGGGCUACACACGUGCUACAAUGGGGUGCACAAAGAGAAGCAAUACUGCGAAGUGGAGCCAAUCUUCAAAACACCUCUCAGUUCGGAUUGUAGGCUGCAACUCGCCUGCAUGAAGCUGGAAUCGCUAGUAAUCGCAAAUCAGCCAUGUUGCGGUGAAUACGUUCCCGGGUCUUGUACUCACCGCCCGUCACACCAUGGGAGUUGUGUUUGCCUUAAGUCAGGAUGCUAAAUUGGCUACUGCCCACGGCACACACAGCGACUGGGGUGAAGUCGUAACAAGGUAACCGUAGGUGAACCUGCGGUUGGAUCACC
rnacentral:rRNA from 1 species